rnacentral:misc_RNA from 1 species
AAGUCGUAACAAGGUUUCCGUAGGUGAACCUGCGGAAGGAUCAAUCGGAGUGGGUGGGCCGGCAAGCUGGCUGCGCCAAACAUUAGCGCGUGUAUUGUCUGACUGUUAUGGUGCCGAGAAAUAGCAAGACUUUUAGCAAUGGAUCUCUUGGCUCUU